UUCUGUAAAAAAAAAAGGUACCCAAAAAGAACCCAGCAACCCUUCCUCCUACAGGACCGCCACCUCCUCCUCUUCCAAUGCCGACCCUUCCCAGCCGCCACCUUCGCCUGUGCUCGCCAGAAAAUCGAGAAAAGUUGUCGAAUUUACAUAAAUUUUUUGGAGCUUGUUCCGGCAAUUCCGGCAAUUUCGGCACCAAAUCUUGCAAUCUAGGUACACUUUUUCAUCCUCUUAAUGUGUUCUAGCUGAUGGUUGGGUUAUUUAGGAUCGAUUUCUGCGUUUUGUCACUUGAUUUAGCGAUUAAAAUUUGGUCAAUUUUCGGCUCUCAAUUUCG
rnacentral:lncRNA from 1 species